rnacentral:rRNA from 1 species
GACGAACGCUGGCGGCGUGCCUAACACAUGCAAGUCGAGCGGAGUCGAUCGACGGAAGCCUUCGGGCGGAAGAUGGUUGACUUAGCGGCGGAUGGGUGAGUAACGCGUGGGCAACCUGCCUCGAAGACCGGGAUAACAGCCCGAAAGGGCUGCUAAUACCGGAUGUGGUCAAAGAUCCGCAUGGAUUUUUGAUUAAAGGGGAAACCCGUUUCGAGAUGGGCCCGCGUCCUAUCAGCUAGUUGGUGAGGUAAAAGCUCACCAAGGCGACGACGGGUAGCCGGCCUGAGAGGGUGACCGGCCACACUGGAACUGAGACACGGUCCAGACUCCUACGGGGGCAGCAGUGGGGAAUCUUCCACAAUGGGCGAAAGCCUGAUGGAGCGACGCCGCGUGAGCGAAGAAGGCCUUCGGUGUAAGCUCUGUCUGGAGGGACGAAGGAAGUGACGGUACCUCCGGAGGAAGCCACGGCUAACUACGUG